rnacentral:rRNA from 1 species
GACAUCCAGAGAAUUUAGCAGAGAUGCUUUAGUGCCUUCGGGAACUCUGAGACAGGUGCUGCAUGGCUGUCGUCAGCUCGUGUUGUGAAAUGGUUGGGUUAAGUCCCGNAACGAGCGCAACCCUUAUCCUUUGUUGCCAGCACGUAAUGGUGGGAACUCAAAGGAGACUGCCGGUGAUAAACCGGAGGAAGGUGGGGAUGACGUCAAGUCAUCAUGGCCCUUACGAGUAGGGCUACACACGUGCUACAAUGGCGCAUACAAAGAGAAGCGACCUCGCGAGAGCAAGCGGACCUCAUAAAGUGCGUCGUAGUCCGGAUUGGAGUCUGCAACUCGACUCCAUGAAGUCGGAAUCGCUAGUAAUCGUAAAUCAGAAUGUUACGGUGAAUACGUUCCCGGGCCUUGUACACACCGCCCGUCACACCAUGGGAGUGGGUUGCAAAAGAAGUAGAUAGCUUAACCUUCGGGAGGGCGUUUACCACUUUGUGAUUCAUGACUGGGGUGAAGUCGUAACAAGGUAGGCGUAGUGCU